AGCAUGCAAGUCGAACGGUAGAGGGUGCUUGCACCUUUGAGAGUGCGGACGGGUGAGUAACACGUAGGUAAUCUACCUAGAAGUUGGGGAUAGCCUGUGGAAACACAGGGUAAUACCGAAUGAGACCAUGUAAAUGGUGAAAGAGGCUAAGGCCUCGCUUUUAGUUGAGCCUGCGGCUCAUUAGCUAGUUGGUGGGGUAACGACCUACCAAGGCGACGAUGAGUAGCCGGCCUGAGAGGGCGACCGGUCACACUGGGACUGAGACACGGNCCAGACUCCUACGGGAGGCAGCAGCUAAGAAUCUUCCGCAAUGGUCGAAAGGCUGACGGAGCGACGCCGCGUGGACAAAGAAGGCCGGAAGGUUGUAAAGUCCUUUUCUCAGAGAAGAAUAAUGUGGGGAGGGAAUGCCCUACAGAUGACGUUAUCUGAGGAAGAAGCCCCGGCUAAUUACGUGCCAGCAGCCGCGGUAACCCGUAAGGGGCAAGCGUUGUUCGGAAUUAUUGGGCGUAAAGGGCGCGUAGGCGGCUGAGCAAGCCUGGUGUGAAAGGCCACAGCUUAACUGUGGGAGUGCGCUGGGAACUGCUUGGCUGGAGUUCAGGAGGGGAAUCUGGAAUUCCUGGUGUAGGGGUGAAAUCCGUAGAUAUCAGGAAGAACACCU
rnacentral:rRNA from 1 species